GUGGCCAACAACUAAUAAGACAGAGUUUUGGCCAACAUGGCUCUUAUUUAUCACCUCCUAAGCCAUAACCUGAUUAUCAUAGCUCCAGUUUCCAGCCCCAUACCAGUCUCUUGUCAAUCAGUAUCAGAAGGCCUGCUCUAACUUCUCUUAUGGUUGCUUCAUAGCUGUCUCCAAUCGCUACUGGCUUCUCAGAAAUAUCCCUUUCCAGUUUAACCCAGGGACCGAGACCCAGAGUACUACGUGCCCUCAGAUGUCAUAACUCCUCACUGGGUUUGCAGCAGAUAGAUGAGAGCUGGUGUAAGACUACAAUGAUGAAGAAACUGAAGCAGAGAAAUAAGGAAUUUGUCCAAAUCUCACAGCAAUGUUAGCACAGUUCAGAGGACCAAGAAGCUGAGGGAUAGUGCAAUGUGAGGCAGUACCCUUAAUGAAAGGUGUGCACUUCUAAACAAAAUGGAGGCUCAUGAGCAAAACAUGCGGAGCUGCCCUGGCAAUGAAGUGAAGAGACUUGUAACUUGGUGCCUGAGCCUGUGCUAAAUGAGGGAGGGAACGGAAGGAGUUCAUUUGGAAUCAGAAGACUAAGUGAUAUGUUGUCGGUAAUUAUAUUAUCGCCAUACUCUUGCUUCUUGACGACUAGCUCUCUAUCACCCUCCUUCGACACACAGAAAUCAUGUCCGUUUCCAUCCCGAACCUCAUUUUCCAUGUUAAACUUCCAAAUAAAUAAAC
rnacentral:lncRNA from 1 species